GAAAACUGUGGGAAUAUUUAAAUUUUACUGAAGGAACAAUAAUGAUGAGAUUUGUAACUGUCAACUAUUAAAUACAUUGAUUUUUGAGACAAAUAUUUCUUAUGUCAGCCUGUUAUGAGAUCUCUUACUCUGCUCAAAUUCAUCACUGAAAGAUUUAAUUUUAGUUACCUUUUGUUGAUUUAAAAAUAAUUGCAUUUGACUGAUAAGACAAAUUGAGUUAUUGAACUAUUAAAUGCACAUUUUAGUAUAAAUGCAGAAAUCCCAAAUAAAAUGCUAACAUACUGAAUUCAGUAAUUAAAAGAACCCACUGCAGCUGGGUGCAAUGGCUCAUGCCUGUGAUCCACCCACCUCGGCGUCCCAAAGUGCUGGGAUUACAGGUGUGAGCCACUGCACCCGGCCUAUUUAUAUCUUUUAUUUCUUAGCAAAGUUUAGAGUUUCUUUUAUCUCCAUGCAUUUCCUAUGUAUGCUUACAUUUUUGUGUAGUUGGAAAUGGAUUUUUUCUUUCCAAUUAUGUACUUCUUUAUAGUUUUUAAAAGUGGCUUUAUAUAGGUGAUACUGAUAGCUAUAUAUUUAUGUUGUAAAGGACCAAUUUAAGUUGUUCAUUAAAGCCAAUAAUUUUUCAGCUGAUUCUCAUGAGGUGUAUAUAAGCAAUCUGAUUUGCGUUCUUCUGAAACUGCUUAUCAAAUAGAUGGCCAUUAGCCCCUAAAUGGCAAAAUCCACUGGACAGUUUUCUGUAUUGUACUCAGUAAGGUCUGACAUAUUUUGCAUGGUUGACCACUCCUUCGUUCUUAAAAUAGUCUUUUUUUUAUUGCCUUCAGUGAAACAUGCUCUUGGUUUUCCUCCUGUCUCAUUUGCUAUUCUGUCACAUUUCUGUUUGCUGUUCUUCCUCUCACUUUUCUUCAAAUAUUGGUGUACUUUUUUUUCUUUUCUAGACUCCAUUUUUGUCUAACCACACUCUCCCUAGAUGAUUUUAUCAAAUUCCAUGGAUUUAAAUAUAUUUGUAAGCACAUUCAGAAUUAGUUUCAUUUCAACUUUGUGUUUUGUAUCUGAAUGAUAAGCAUCAGCAUUAUAACUAAACAGACUGUGUGAUUAAGAUUAUGGACAAUUUUUCCCUCUAGUUAUCUAAUUUUCAUAAUUACCUCUAGAAUGUGAGAACAUUAUUUUUAUGAUCAGAAAGUAUUUUAAGAAACUAGCUGAGUGGACUCUAAUAUGGAACCAUCAACAUGUAUCAAAUUCCACUUAAUUAUAAGCAAAUUCAUUGUGAAGUUAUAUUAUAUUUGAAAAGGCAUUUCAUGAUUACAUUUGUUAUUUAAGAAAAUGUUAUUUAAAGAAAUUUACAUAAGUUUCAUUAUACAUGUAUUUUAGCUUACUCAUCUCUGGAAAUGGAAAACUUAGAUACUAGGCAAGAGGGCUUUAAAUUUUUUUUUUAUGAGAUAUUUUAAUAAACCAGUACUUAGGUCUUAAUAUUUGUGUUUUUCAAAAAUUUAUGUUAAAAUCCUAACCCCCAUGACUAUAGUAUUAGAAGAUAGGGCCUUUUGGAAGGUGAUUGGAGAGGGGCCCCACCUUCAGGAAUGGAAUUCGUGCCCUUAUAAAAUAAACCCAAGGUAACUUUUUCAUCCCUUACACCCUGUGAGAACAUGGUGAGAAGGCACCAUCUAUGAGCCAGAGAAUAGAUCCUCACCAAACACUGAAUCUGCUGGUACCUUGAUCUUGGACUUUCUAGCCUCCAGAACUGUGAGAAACAAAUUUCUGCUGUUUAUAAGCUGUCCAGUUAAUGGAAUUUUGUUAUUGUAGCCCAAAUAUGCUAAGACAACCAAUAUAGUUAAAAUUACUAUGCCUGUUCUACUUUAUAAAGUUCUAGUGUAUGUUGUAUAAUGCUUACAUUAAAUAAAAGGUAAGGUUAACUUACAUAAAACAUGUUUAGAUAGGAUAAUUGUAAAAAUUAUUUAUUAUUAGAGAAAUUGGUAAAAUUGUGGCUUUGGAUAGAGGCAGGAGAAAGAAAAGAGCAAGGCACUGGUGAGAAAAAUUGCUAUGGAGAAUAUUGAGAAUAGAUACAAGGAGACCUACAGGUUUACAACAUUAAUAUUGGCCAAUACUUGAUUGGACAGUUUGAAUUUUUCGACCUGAAAGGCCUUUGUUCCCCAAAGUCUGUAAGGAGAUUUUGUAAAAACAAACAACAAUAGCAAUAAAAAAUAAUCAGGGAAGAUUAAGAGAUUUCAUAAGGAGCCAGAAUUUAUAGGUAAUAUUUAAAUGGUAUAGAUACAAUUACUAUUUUGGUGAAUAAUAAGCACAUGGUAGACUGAAAUUUGGCAACAGCUACUGUGCAAAUAAGCAUAUCUGUGAUUAUGGCUUAUAUCGGGUUGGGGACCCUUGUUGUAAGCCAUUCUUUUUAGUACAGGUUAAUCUCCAUUUCUCAAUCACAGUUCUGUUCUUUUCAUCUGUGGGAAAUAAUGAAUUCUGUUUCAGAUUUUGAUUGUCUUUUGUAUUCUUUGUCAUCCAACAGAAUUGCACAUUUCACUUUGAAAAAUUUUUAUAACUAGCGUUUGACACUUGAAACUGGCUUUUGAGUCUUCUAUAAUAGUUUGUGCAAAAGUCUGAGGUUUAAUGUUAUGAUGGCCUUAUUCAUACUGUAGAAAUAUAUACUGCAGCAAUAUGCACCCAAAUGGUCAGUAAGCUUUUUAAAUGAACUAGCUAGAUUUUUAGUUUUGAUUUUAAUUCUUGGUUUGAAUUACUGAAAGCUAUCUUGACCUUAGGAAAAUGAAAGCUUACAUGAGGUUUAGCCACUUAAAACAAAGUAUUUCUUUGUGUCUCCAGUUCAUGUGAAACCUGACUUUUAUUUACAAUAUUUAUGUUAUGAGCACUUUUAUUAGGAUCUUUUGAAGCCUUUCAAGAGUUUUCUUUCAGUUAUUAUUAAUAGUACUAAUAAAGAAGGUGAGCAGGAUUUAAAGCUGAAAGGAGCAUCAGAGAUAAUUGAGCUUUGUUUAUGCCAUUCAUUGUUAUCCUAUGCAAUGUCUUUUGUUUGUUUUUUAAUUAAUUGCCGAUAUUUAAGAAGAGGGUCAUAGAACACUCAUUAUUCCAGAUUCUUUUGAAAAACUGGAAGAUCUGGCAACUACAGGUUUAUGUUCUUGCAUGUUAACAAUAUACAGGGGCUGGAAUUACCUGCUCUGAGUGCCUUUAGAUGUGCAUACUCUCUCCGAUUUGCCACAGUUCCCACCAAUUCUCAUUUCUCCUCUUUACUUGGCCCACAUCAUUGGGCCUAUCUCAUUAAUUUCUAUUAAAUAUUUUGUUACUGAGGCCAUUAGUUUAUGACCCCUGAGGCCAAGACAGCUGUUAAGAACUUGCAUUAUUGGUGGCAAAAUUAUACCUUUAUGACUACUUACUAGGUUUUAGAAAUGUCACUUUCCCAACGAGGUAUUAUGGUAAUCAUAAGUUCAAAAGAAUUGAAGUUCAUUUGAGAUAAUUAAAUCAAAACCUCUAGUCUGAGUUGGAGGGUGAUAAAGUUAUCUGGCGAAAUAUAUGAACUUCUGUUACCUUCCUCUUAUGCUAAAUGAAUGGUAAAAUGAAUCCUGAUUUGUUUAGGCAGUUUACUUAUGAAGUUGGGAGAAUUUUUUUUUUUGUUUAAAGGACUGAGUCUGGCUCUGUUGCCUAGGCUCAAGUACUGUGGAUCUUCGCUCACUGCAGCCUCCACCUCUUGGAUUCAAGCAGUUCUCCUGCCUCAGCCUCCCGAGUAGCUGGGAGCCACCAUGCCUGGCUAAUUUUUGUAUUUUUAUUAAAUGAGUUUUCACCACGUUGGCCAGGCUGGUCUUGAACUCCUGAUGACCUCAAGUGAGCUGCCUACCUGGCCUCCCAAAGUGCUGGGAUUAUAGGUGUGAGCCACUGUGCCCAGCCUGAGGUUGGGAGAAAUUUUGUCUAUUUCUCUAGAACCAAAAUUGGCAACCAGAGAGUAUUUGGAUGUUACACAAAAUAUUUAGUUUCCCUUUCUAGCCUAAAUUGGGUUGUUUAUAGCACCCCUCUCUCCAUUUGAGAAAAAUGGUUAGGAUGCUUGUGCAGGGAUGAGGCCUUAUUAGAACAGAGAAAGUGCCCAAAUAGUGGUUCAAACACAGGCUGGCUAAUAAGCUGUGAGGUGACUUACCAGAAAACAACAACAACGAAAACCCUUGAACUUCUGCUUUCAACUUCUACUUUAUGCUAGAUUAUUUGGUCCAAUCUUCCUGGUCUAACACCUGACUACAUAUAACAACAAACAUCUGCUUGAAUGUGUUGGAAAGGUGAUGAUUAAUUGCCAGGCUGAUACAUUAAAUAAAAUGGAAGUCCCAAAAGUUGAA
rnacentral:sRNA from 1 species